rnacentral:rRNA from 1 species
UACGGAGGGUGCAAGCGUUAUCCGGAUUCACUGGGUUUAAAGGGUGCGUAGGAGGGCAGGUAAGUUAGUGGUGAAAUCCCCGAGCUUAACUUGGGAACUGCCGUUGAUACUAUCUGUCUUGAAUAUUGUGGAGGUGAGCGGAAUAUGUCAUGUAGCGGUGAAAUGCUUAGAUAUGACAUAGAACACCAAUUGCGAAGGCAGCUCGCUACACAUAUAUUGACUCUGAGGCACGAAAGCGUGGGGAUCAAACAGG